AUCAGAAAUUGGAGGCACAUUAGGUUAAGGAACUUGCCCCAAACCACAGAGGAAAUGGCAAGAUUGGGAAAUCAGCCCAGGCUUCCAUACUUCACAUAUCUUAUUCCUCAGUAUGAAAACAAACUGCCAACAGAAUCAGGAACUCUGAGACCUGGGCUUUUCAAGGACAAAGACUCAAGACGUUGGCCUCAAAAAUAGUUGCCACCCCUGACCUUGAAUGGAAGAACUGUGUAUUUUACAAAGGUCAUGAUCCACUCUGUUGGAAGAAGGGAUGUACUAGGAUGAAAAAUGUAAGAAGAUGUGUAUAUCAAAGUUGAUGAAACUUAAAACUGAUGUUUGAAGUGGUUUCUAAAAAGAGCAAUAAUUUUUGAGAGGACUCUUGGAGAAUGCAUAGUUAACUUGGAUCCAGCAAGACCGAACGGAUGCAUUAGUCUUAAGGUUCGGAGCGGCCGGCUCACAGCGCCACCUGGCGUCCACUUUCGGAAGCGGCGAGAACAGCUUUAAAACGAAAAGUGAGGUAAAGCUGGUCCUCAGCUGUGCACGAAGGAACCUAUCUGGGAGCAGACAGGUGAGGUCGGUAUUGGGCGCCCAGAUUUCUUGGUCUGGAGGUGAGAGGGGUUUUGCAGGCCUUUUUCACUGGCUCCUGGAUCCCGCUGUGAAUCUAUUCUUUUUGAGGCUCUUUGAUUUCCGGACCAAUCCUUGUGAUUUUCUGAGCGCUUCCAUCCUGCAUUCUUCAUCAGCUGUUUGGAGGGGUGAUGUAACAAUAGUUAGACAAAUCUCAAAUUGGGAAAUUAUUAAUAAUAGUUUUUAUACCAAGGAUGAAUAG
rnacentral:lncRNA from 1 species